GCGAGGUGUGGUAACUAGGUGUGUUGUACGUUGUAUUCCGCCACCCCCUCCCAUCUCCUCCUCUCCAAGUGAUGUCCUUGCUCGCCGGAUCUUCUUCGUGUGGGUGCAAGUUCCGAUUGGAGAAUUGGUGGGAGGAAGGAAGGAGGAAAGGAGGAACCCAAGGUGGUGGACUUCCGGAUCGUACUUAGUACCAUUCCAAAUUCUCGGUGAAGGCAAGUAAAUACAGUGGUGGUUGCUACCGUUUGGUUUGCAUCCUAUGCCUUGUCAUUGAGUAUGCAUAAGUAUUAAAUGUGUUAAUCAUUGAAUUCUAUGAUGAAGUUUAUUUGUUCGAAAGAAUUAAUUCUCAAUUGUCUAAUAUUGAGGAUGAUCAUGAUUUGAGAAUGAUAUAUGUGGUUGAUUUCCAUCUUGGAUGAAGUUGAAGUAUCUUUUUGAAUCAUGUUGUAUGAAGUGUUGUAGGCAUGUCAUGCACAUCGCAUCAUCCAUAUUGCAUUUUGAAGUUAUGUCGUGAUCUUAUGGUCCGACCGUACCGGUACACUUUUAGCAUCGUACGUUGCCCGAGGAGGGGUACGAUGCGGCUUCAUAUCCUUAGAGGUAUGAAGGCAGAAGUCAUCUUUGCAUUUGCAGACAUUUGCACUCAUGAGGUAUAUAUGAAGUGUGACAUUACUAUGUUACUAUUGUGGUUUCUACCUGCAGGUGUGGUAACUAGGUGUGUUGUACGUUGUAUUCGUGCUGCACCUUCGUAAUAAGAAGGUUGCGAAAUCAAAUGGUGGUACUUGAUAUAUGUUGGGAAUGAGGGGAGUAGCAGCACGUCCACUUUCACUCUCAUAUUAAGGCUGCCCAAGCGCAUCCAUGAUUUAAUUAGAAACUUGAUAUCAAAGGAUGUUUGUUUUUUUACUAGUCAUGCGCACUGGUUAAUUCAGUUCAUGUCAUAUGUUUAACUUUCCUUUGCUAGCCGUUUAAUAAUACUUAGUAUGUUUUUUUGUCAUGAUACAUGUUUAUACACUGUUGCCCCCUCCUUUAUGCUAUUUUGCAAAGGAGAUGCUGUCGAAAUUUUAUAUACGG